ensembl:snoRNA SNORD24 Small nucleolar RNA SNORD24
UGCAAAUGAUGCAAAGAAUAUUUGCUAUCUUAACUGGCAUGCUGACAACCAACCACCAAGAUCUCUGAUGCA